CCCGGCGCCUUCUUGAGCGCGGAGAGCUUGGCCUUCUUCCUCUUUGUGGCCCGGGUGAACCUGAGCAUGGCUUUCGGGAGCACCGUGAGAUCAUUUCACUCGAUACAAACUGAGAUUUGGUGACGCACCAAAGACCAGAAGUGGAAAAGAUACCAACAACCCAAAUAAAAUUUGGAAGAGCAAUAGAGAUGAGGAAAGAAAAAAUAGUUCAGUGAGUGCCCUUCAAUAAAAAGUUUAACGCAUAUAAAA